rnacentral:misc_RNA from 1 species
CUCCUCCUCGCAUCCCUGUUCGGACACCACGGACACACACACACACACACAGAGCUUACACCUUCCUUCAUAAACCCCGCCUGACCGUCGUCUCACCCUCUCUCACGGAGUGACCUCGUGCCACACGUGCUCCUUCACGCGUUCCUGCACUGAAGUCAGGUGCACAUCUUCUUCCUGGGCUAUUGGCUAGGUGUGUCUCUCCGCUCUGGGCUGAUCACAUGCGGAGACGGACAGUGCAGGGGAGACCGCAGUUCAAGAGAUGAGCGAGAGCUCGAAGGGUGCUUCUCAGGAGGCAGAUUUGAGCCGGGCCCCGUCGCCAACAAACUCUAGAGAUCAGAGCGCCGAGCCAAACACCGGCUACGAGGAAGGACGGAUCACUGUAAGUGUCCGCGUGCGGCCACUCAACGCACGCGAGACGAAGCUGAACUCCGGGAGCUGCAUUGCUCCGCUUGCAGCGUACAACACUCUCUACAUCCUCCCGCCAGGGGAAUCGGAGCAGGAUGUGAAUGCGCUGCUCGCCGUCGACCCGCAUCUGCGCGGCACCCGCCACCACCGCUUCACCUUUGACCAUGUCUACCCAGUGGAUUCCACACAGGAGCAGGUGUACGAGCAGAUCGGGCGACCGGUGCUACAGUCCAGCUUCCGCGGCUACCACACGUGCAUUUUCGCCUAUGGCCAGACAGGCAGUGGGAAGAGCUACUGCAUGAUGGGCGCCGAUGGCGGCUGCUGCAUCGACGACGCACCGGGCAUUAUCCCGCGCCUCUGCCGUGAAGUUUUUAUCGAGAUGGACAAGGUAAAGCAAGCUGCCAUGGCAAACGAGGAGAACGUGGACUUCAGCGUCUACGUCAGCUACCUCGAAAUCUACAGGGAACGCGUGCGCUCCCUCUUGAACGAGGUACACGAUGCCAGGAUUGUGACAGCCGGCAACGAGGAGUAUGGGUCCGCCUCGCUGCGGGCCGUAUCGGGGUCUCUGCGUCGCCAGGGCUUGCUUCACGCGGCUGACUCGGCGGAUGCCGCCCUGCGCGUGCGUGAGCACCCAACCCUCGGCGUCUAUGUGGAAGGACUCGCCGAAAUUUCCGUGACGAGUGAGGAGCAGGUGCUACGACUCAUGGUGCGAGGGAAUCAGCGCCGGCACAUGGCAUCGACCCGCAUGAACGAAACGUCAAGCCGCUCGCACGCCAUCUUUACGCUGCAGCUGCUGCAGAAGCGGACACGCGCCGUCCCGCCCGGCGAGGGUGGCUCUGGCGGCACGAUCACAGAGGCACCAUCCACCGCCGUGGCGACAAUGACGACACAGCUGGGUGCCAAGAUCAACUUGGUGGAUCUUGCCGGCAGCGAGCGUGCCAAGGCAACCGGGGCGGAUGGCGACACCCUCAAGGAAGGCGCGCAGAUCAACAAGUCUCUCACAACACUCGGCAUUGUCAUCAAUUCCUUGGCCGCCCAGUCCAUCGCCACCGCCAGCAGUUCCACUGGGCAGUCGCCAAUGAAGUCCGCUGCUGCAUCGAAGCGGCACAUACCCUACCGAGACUCGACACUCACCUUCCUCUUGAAGGAGUCCCUAGGUGGCAAUAGCAAAACCUUCAUGAUUGCCACCGUUAGCCCCAGCGCCGACAGCUACGACGAGUCGCUCAGCACACUCCGGUACGCAGAUAGGGCCAAGUCCAUCAUGAUGAAGGCGUUUGUGAAUGAAACGGCCGGCGACAAGCGCAUACGAGAGCUGGAGAAAGAGGUGAUGCGGCUUCGCGAGCAAAUUCGCUCGCUGCUCAGUGCCGAAGCGAGGCGCUCCUCCACUCCGAUGGCGACGCCGGCAGCAACACCGGUGGCGCUCACGGACGGCGACUCGUUGCUUCAGCCCUCACUCGUAGGAGACGGUGACGGCAAUGCUGUCGAGGGCAAGUGGAUUGACCAGGACAAGAACGGCAGCCGUGAGACGAGCAUGACGCACUCAUCGGCAAGCGGUAGGGAGGUGUCAAUCGUGCCCGAUGGUGAUGCGGACCUGCAGGCGCCGCACGCCGGCUUCAACGACCAUGCGGGCAGUGGCGCGGUGGCACCAGAGCCAGUGUCACCAGUGGCAGACACUCCUGUCGCGUCCCGCGCCGAAUUUGUGGCAACGCUGCAGUCGGAGCUGCGUCGUGCAGAGGAAAUGAUUCGGCAGAUGUCUGCGUCCGAGGCAGAGCGCAACGCGCACAUUGCCCAGCUUGUGAAGCGGCAUGAGGAGGAGCAGGCGGCGAUGCGGGCUGCGGCGGCGGCGAUGGCGGCGGCGGUGGCAACGAAGGACGCCGAGAAUUAUGCCCCCGGCGCAGUGACGGCGACGAUGCGUCUGUGUCGCGAUGAGCCGUAUCUGCUAAACAUGGACGGGGCGGGUGACUGGGUCGUCGCGCAUCUUGGUCCCGGCGAGACGCUUGUAGGGGUGUUUCCGCCCAACGGUGGCGCCGCCAAUAACACUGCAGCGGCGCCAUCUACCGCGAAGGGGAAUGAGGGCAGUGAAGUCGGAAGCUCAUCAACAUCGUUCGACUCAUCUCUCGUGCUUCCAUCGUAUCGUACCGGCCCCGACGCCGAUGCGAAUGGGGCAGCACCCGAUGAAGGCGCCGACGUGCGACAUGUUCGGCUGCCAAGAGAGUUUGGCGAGGGCGUUGGUGGACCGCACUGCAUCCUUGAGCGCUUGAAGGCGACGGGCACUGCCGCGACGGCUAGCUCGACAACGACACUCAGGGCGUGCGCAGGGUACGAGACGUACGUAAUCCGUCCCAUGUAUCGUAGCCCAUUUGUCGUCAAGGACGGCGACACGCUCCUCCUGCAGAGCGGAGACGUGCUGGACAUCGGUGCCGACCACAUCCAGCUCAAGUACAUGGACCCUGCAGAGCCCCCCUUGACUGCGCGUGGGCGGAGAACAGUUCGCAUGGAAACGACCGCAUACGUCGGCGGUGACAGCCAGAGUGUCGAUUGGGCUGAGAGCGAUCGCGGCAUGAGUUCGGCGGCGGCUUCCCCUGCCUCCGCAGGCUACAAGGAGGAGGAGGCGUUGAUGUCGCUGAAGCGUUUUAUCGGUUCCUCUGAGGAGCACCCGGACAAGGAGGGCGUGCGUGAGGAGGCGCGCGAGACACGCGGUGCCUCUGGGGACGGCGACGGCUGUGAGGGUGGUGGCGUGGAGACGGCGUCGUCUUUCGAUAGGGAAUCCUUACAUUCGGUCUUCGACGACGAGUACUCGACUUCCGCCGCCGCCGACGACUACAACGACGAGGGCAUUGGCGGACGACGAAACAGUCGUGAGGCCGGUAUCAGCACCACCGUAGCGACGCCGCAGCAGCCAUCUAGACCCCUCAUUCCCACCCUGGCCUUGGGCAAGGCGCUCCCAGCGAACCGGCUCUCAACGCCUCCGCCACAGCGGAUGCCCCAACGGGAUUAUCAGGCGACCAGAGUGCCCUUCGACACGGCGAGCGCCAACGCUAAGAAUUCGGCAUCCUCUGUAAUACUGUCGGACUCGGAAGACCAUUCAACUGCGAGCCUCUCGGUGAACGAGGGCAUUAAGGCACCUAGCCUUCCGAUCCCCCUUCAGCGCCGGCCGACGCCGGCAGCUGUUGCGGUUGUGAAGACGCGAGUGCCGAGCAAGCGCGUCCCACAGACGGCGCACCUGAACCCCAACUCUGCGUUGCCCCUGUCAGAGUUGCAGUGGAUGCGCUCCAAGGCGCCGUCGAAGUCAUACCGCAGUGAGCCUCCACCACGCUUUGUGGGCCGCUACAACCUCGUCCUCGUGGGGCCAUCCGGCAGCGGCAAGAGCAGUCUUGUGCGGAACUUGCAGACCGAGGACACGCCAUGGCUGCAGUCUGCUUUCUCAACGCUCAUGGCCACCGGGCGCGCCUACGCGGGCGCCGAUGCCGACGGCAACACACCAGCCUCCGCGGAGACGCAUCCCACGAUCGGCAUUCACACCACCACGCUGACGGCCGCCGGCGCGACACCGAUGCGCCUUCACGUGUACGAGCUUGGCGGCACGCCGUGCUUUAGCCCACUACUAGACCAACUCCCAUCCCGCCGGCUGACAUACUUGUUGUGCUUCCCGCUAGACGGCGGACCGUCGCUCGUUGCCCUGCGCGGCAUUGUCGAAGACAUUUUGUGCCGCACGGACAGUCACACGGUGUCACUGGUGCUGGUUGCCACACACGCGCACCACAGCAGCGCUGCCGAUGGCAAGGGCGGUGGCGGCAGCCUCUUCUCUCGCCGCCUUCCAGCCGUGCGACAGGAGAUGCUGCGAGCUCAGAUGGAAGAGGUGGAGCUGCAGGUGGUCAGCCUCAUUCAGAUGCUGCAGCCGUAUGCGCAGCUGCGUCCUACAGUGGUGGGCCGGUUCGCAGUUGACAACGUGCACCGCCAAGUGUACUCGACCGGGUAUCGGGCCGUGGAGGGGUUUCCCGAGUGGCUGCAGUGGCUCGGAGACCUGGCGCGCGACCGGUGCCGGAGUGAUGUGGAUUUUGCCAGCGGACUCGUGCCUGCACGGUGCAUGGAGCUCAGCCGACAGGUGGGUCUGUUGCGGGAGCGUGGCAAGUGGUGCCUGUCUCUGCGCGACUUCAAGGCGCUGGCAACGGCAGUCAGCACGCAGUACGACACAGCCGAAGCCGCGAGCGCCUCUCUCGCUCGAGACACGCUGCGCCAGCACGUGCAGCUGCUCGCAGACUGGGGUGUGCUGGCGCACCGCUUUCGAAGCACACCGCUACGUCAACAUGUGGUUCUUGAUGUAGCGUGGCUCUGCCGUGUGCUGACAACGCUGGCGUGCUGCGCGCUGGUGGGCCAAGCGGAGUCUGGUGGGCCCAGCACCGUGGAUGCCGCUAGGAUGGUUGCCGCGGCCGGAAAGCGAGACACGGCGCUUCUGAAUCGAAAACACCCGGCACUGCGUAUCUUGCUCACCCCCGAGGCGGCGCGAAUCGUCGAUGUGGUGAAAGUCGUGACUAUGGACACGGCGUGCCUUCUUCGCUAUGGUGUCUUGCCGAUGCCCGUUCUCGUUACGAUGCUGGAGCCCCACUUCAAACCAUGUGACAGUGAGGGAGCCGCCAGCGGCAGCCUCGAGGAAGGCAUGAGUGCCCUGAGGAGAACAGACAACCUCGCCGUCGCUGGCUGCGACCCCGCUGCGGGCAACGUGCGUUAUAGCGUUCCGCUGGCUGGUGUACUCGAACUCCUUGUACUGUGCGACGUUAUCAUUCUGGGGCACAAGCUGUUGCUCAGUCCAUCCGCCGAGGAGGCGGCUCGAACUUCUACGGCGCCGCCGCAGGAUUUAGUGGGGUGCUCACGCAGUCUUCCCGUGUCUGCCGCAUCACAGCAGCAAGGGGGCCGUGUACACGAUGACGACGACCGCAGCCUAGAUGACAUCAACCCGGCGGAGGAGGGCUUUGUUGUGUACCCGCUGAGUUGUCGCACCCCCGCAUCUGCUGGCGUCACGUGGCUUUUCCCGUGCUUCCUCUCCGGUCCGUUCUACAUGUUCAAGCUCGACAUGGUGCCACGCAACUUCUUCCCAAAGCUCAUGUGCCGCCUGGCCACGGUAUCGGACAAGAUCUACCUCGGCCCUGUGCAGUCGCAUAGCUGGAGUUCACCGACUCGGUGGCGGGCAACGGAUGCGACGCGUGGGCGAGGUGUUGUUGGCGGGAGAACACCGGUGGCGCACGGCCCGUUCGACACCUACUUUUCGGAAUGCGCUGGUAGGUCGUUUGUGCUGCCUCGAUUCUCGACGUACUUGGCGCAGACCACCGCCGAGGUCUCACCGCGAAGACGAGAGGGACUAUGGUUUGAUGCAGCAUGGCUGGUGUACAAGGAGUCGGCGCACGACGAUGACUGCGAAGGCGACAACUGCCGCGUGCUUGUGCGGUUGGUACACCACAGUGUGUUCCUGUCUUUCCACUGCCACCAGGCAGGCUCGUCGUUGGGCAUGAGCGGUGGCGGUGCUAGCCCUGGCGUUCAGGAUUUUUACGAAGCCGUUCUCGAAGCGGUUCGGCACGUGGUAGAGGAGUUCCCCGGAGGCAAGUGCAGCGAGUCCAUGCAGUGCUGUGUUGACCCUGCGAUACUGCUCGAGCUGGAGGUGAAGCAUCCUGCCGUUCAGUCCGACCAAGAGACGGCAGCCCUGGAGCGCCACGUGCGAUUUGCCAGCAUCAACGACAACCUCAACAGCCUUGAGCGCGUGCUUGCCAAGAGCGGCUCGGCGCUGUGGACCGCCCGCACCGCCCGCCGCUCUCAUACGUCACGUUCGGAAGAUGGUGAGGACGAGAGCGCCUACGUGCCACUGCUGCGCAAUUUUAGUGCUACGUGUCCGCUCGACGUUGCCGAGUGCAUUCGGCGCUGGAAGACGGAGCAGCACUUCCACAUAUCCACGGAGCUGGAGGCACGGCUGGUGGGUGCACUGCAGGAGCUUGGUGCAUGCUACCAUGAGUCGGCACCGGUCGCUGUUAACAGCUGUUUCGCGCUGGAUCGCUUGCUGGACGUGCUGGCUCACAUUGACACGGUGUGAGAAGAGAGAGAGGUGUGGGGGUAGGCGAUGUCCGCUAACGCGCACCGGUAUGGCAUCGUGGUCUCUUUUUAUUAUUUUUUUUUUCCUCUGUAUAUGUGUGUGUGCUUCCUCGUGUGGCUACUUCCCACAUUCCAUGCUCCACCCAUGUGUGAAUUCCUGCCUUUGCCUGCUUUCUUUUUUUUCCGUUCUCACUGCACAUCAAGAGGCAUCUGAGCAUGUCUGUCGCUGUUGUUGUUGUUCUGUAUACUGUGCGAGGCCUCUGUCACCAAGCAAAGGGACGACGAUGAGAAUAGUGAUAAUAAAAGCGGACUGCAAGUGCUGCAGUGCGCAGACGGCGCGGAAACGCAUUUAUGUGACAUGGCACGCUGUGAUGUGACGUGGAGGAUUGCGUCGUGCUUCUUCACCACUGGCCAUUCCCCCCCCCCCCCGACUUCCUGAACUACGCGUUCGUGUCUUCGCGUGAGGAUGCCUGUCACAGAAAGCACGUGGAUGUUCGUGUUUAUUGCGGAUAUGAGUGAAGUAUACGUGAUUGUCGCUCUCGAACAAUUUCCAACGCGUCUUUCUGUUUGUGAUCGCUGCCGGCGCCCCCCUCCCCCACGCAGCUACGAGAAACUCGCCGAUGCGGCCAAGACUUGAGCGUAUGAAGAGGCUUGCUUUGCGCGUACAUCUCUCACUCUGUUGCCUGUGUGUGUUAUCAGGGCUGGCCAUGCGGAUCUACCCGGGCGACAGUGCGCCUUGCGUGCCUUUGAGCUCAACGCAUGACCACCCUACCCAGCCGUCUUCUGUCUACCCUUCACCGUCGACAACCAACUCCUCUGCUAUUGUGCGCUUCAACUUCUCCCUACUUCACUGACGUGCAUACACGCACGAUGGCGCACGCUGCCAUGCGCGCCGUGCUGUCACAG